rnacentral:tRNA from 1 species
GUUUAGUGUGGUGCUGAAGCACGUCAUAUUUUGGUUGUGGAGGAAGCUUGUUGCUCACUUUUCU